AUUCCGUUGAUUACCAUCUGUUGAAUGAAAUUAAUUAUUUUACUUUGUGAAUAACUAUUGUUAUGAUGAUAAUAGAAAUAGCUAUAUUAAGUGAUAAUUUUCGACUAAUUUGUGACUAAUUACUGUUAAAGAACUAAUAAUUGUUAUUAAAGAGUGUACGUUUUGGAUUAGUUUUUACAUUCAUCUUUUGUCUAACAUUAUAACGAUAAGAGAAAAGCCUACAUUGUCUUUCAUUGGCAUUAUUUUCAUCAAUAUCGCGCCAUUCAGUGUUUUUUGUUUGUUUUCACAUUAUCAUCAUCUUUAAUAAUCGGAAGACUUUCAACAAACGUCGAGAACCUUUUACCUUACUGAAGAUGGAACCAUGGAUUGUCUCUUUGUUUGGAUUUUUAUAUUGUUCAACUGAAUGCUGUUAUUUCCAAUCAAUAAUAUCAAGUCCAAUAAAAGACUCGUGAUUUUGUUUAACCACACGAUACUUUUCCGGUGUAUGCUCUAGAUAUGAAUGAACUUGAACGGAAGUAUCAAUUGCGUCAAAUACUCGGCAAUUCUGGUGGCAAUGAAAUAAAAGUGCAGUCUGAAUUAACCAAUGUUUCACAGACAAAACUUAAAAGUCACUACACUUUGAGCAUACUUAUAAACUAAUGCAUCAAACAUAAAAUUCACCGGAAAUCGUAACAAAAAUGAACAAGUCUCAUUUUUCAUGAUCAAUCAAUGAAUUGGAACUUUCUUUUUGCACUCAGCACGAGAAACAAACAAUCCUCAGCUUAUGUGAUAAUACGAAUGUACCUUGCGCCAAAUCCAGUUAAACACAAAACCAUAGGAUGGAAAAAUUGAUUAAACAAACAAAACAAUUCGAUUUAAAUCCCAUUCAAGCCAAUGAAUCUCCUUCAGGUGCCAAUCUUAACUGUUACCAGUUCAACAACUCAACAAAUCUACCAGUGGAUCAGACAACAAUCUCGACAUCUCUAGAGACCAGAAAAUCUGGAUCUAUCAUUACCUCUUUCAUCUUUAACCAUUAUUCACGCAAAAUUUGUGUAAAUUUACAGUUGAGUUGAUUUUUUGGUGCUAACAGUAAAAGCUUGACAAAACAUUUACGCCUGGAAAUAAUUGAAAACAAAGCCAAGACUUACAUACAAAGAGUUAUCCUGACAUCACAAUGAAAUCUUUGGUUUAUUUUUUAUUGGUCAUCGUUAUAAUCUCUGGUUUCAUCGACAUUAAACCAGCAAAUUGUAAAUUCAUACGAAAAUAUGGACGAUUCGCUGGCUAUGGACAUUAUUCAUCUUACCAUUACAUUCCCCACUACUAUCCAUACUAUUAUCGACCAUUCUAUUCCCAUUAUGGUUAUGGUCAUCAUUGGGGUGGUUGGCAUCAUGGAGGCUGAUGGAAUCCCAAAUCUCAAAAUCUAGAUACAAGCCUAAACCCAAACUUGGAACCAUUUGAAAACUUGAUUUUAUGUAUCUUUGAAUCCCUAUUUUUCAACAAAUUUAAUCAAUAACUAUGUACAUUGAAGUUGGCUGAAUAAAGGAAUCAAAUCAGUUUAAUUUAU